GGAGAAAUGGCAGAGUGGUCGAAUGCACCGGUCUUGAAAACCGGCGUACCGCAAGGUACCGGGGGUUCGAAUCCCUCUUUCUCCG
rnacentral:tRNA from 2 species